GGACUGCCGUUUCCACAUGGCGCCAUCUCCCUGCUGGAGCAGGGGAGCUGGGAGGUAGCCGCUAUUGUGCAUUUCACUUCAGAUGCAGAAUGUCACAGCUGGAGUCACCACGCCCUCUCUCUCCUGGGGGUGUCUGUCCUGUUUGGUUAUUGCUUUAUGCUGAAAGUUACCUUUUGCUCUUGGUGAACAGAGAAAACCACCAAGAAACCCAGGGAUUCAGUUGGGUUUAUAAAAGCGACCAAGAGCUCAGAGUCCGUGGCAGAGCCGGGACCAGAAUCGAGAAUUACAGCGCCCAGUAUGCGCUACUCACUGAAACCCUCUCACUCUCUUACUGGCACUGAAACACAGCCGUGUUGGGGCAGGGCUUUCAUCUCACUGCUCCUCACACUACCGUGUACUGGCACAUAGAUACCCAGGUGAUGGAUGCUGGGGAGAUAUUGAAGAACAUAAGAAUGGCCAUACGGGGUCAGACCAGAGGUCCAUCUAGCCCAGUAUCCUGCCUUCCGACAGUGGCCAAUGCCAGGCGCCCCGGAGGGAGUGAACAGAACAGAACAAUUAUUGAGUGAGCCAUCCCUGGUGUUCACUCCCAGCUUCAGGCAGUCAGAAGCUAGACAGACACUCAGACGACCGAUGCCAUAGAGACAUUGAAGGCAGACAGAACAAAGCCUGUCAUGAAAAUCUGCCGUGUGCUUUCUGCCACCUCUCUUGGUGCGGGACGUUCCUCCAAGCCCAUUGGAGUAACUUUCCCAUCGAGUCUAGAACUCAAGGAAACACGGAGCAGACUGAGGGGUCUGAAUGGGCCAAGUUUGCCGAGGUUUCUUGGUACGUGUUUACGGACGACUUCUCAGCCCCCUCCUCACUGCACACACUGGACUGACAGUGCAGCAACGGAUCCUCUGCUCUGGAGACCUGUGAGACUAAACAGAGGCCAAGUGCUCUGCCUGGAGCCGGCUCGCAGCCUAGGAGCACAGAUGGCUCUGGAACCGUGGCAGCCGGGGGUUCACCGAGAGCUCCUCUGAGACACUGCUGUGACUGGGCCCGGGUGGGCUGUACCUCGGCAGGUGAGCUCUUCUCUGACCUGCAGACUGGGUCGGUGCAGGGUGAUCAGCUCUGGCGCGAGUGGGACCUGGCUUUUGUAGGUGACAAAUCUGAGGAACUGUCACAGAUUGAAGUGUCAUUAGAGGAGGUUUUGGAAUUAAUUGAUAAAUUUAACAGUAGCAAGGCACCAGGACCAGAUGGCAUUCACCCAAGAGUUCUGAAAGAACCCAACUGUAAAAUUGUGGAACUAUUAACUAUGGUUUGUAACCUGUCCUUUAAAUCAGCUUCUGUACCCAAUGACUGGAAGAUAGCUAAUGUAACACUAAUGUUUAAAAAGGGCUCCAGAGGUGAUCCUGGCAAUUACAGACCGGUAAGUCUCACGUCAGUACCGGGCAAAUUAGUUGAAACAAUAGUAAAGAAUAAAAAUGUCAGACACAUAGAAGAACAUAAAUUGUUGGGCAAAAGUCUGUAAAGGGAAAUCGUGUCUUACUAGUCUAUUAGAGUUCUUUGAAGGGAUCAACAAACAUGUGGACAAGGGGGAUCCAGUGGACAUGGUGUACUUAGAUUUCCAGAAAGCCUUUGACAAGGUCCCUCGCCAAAGGCUCUUACAUAAAUUAAGUUGUCAUGGGAUAAGAGGGAAGAACCUUUCAUGGAUUGAGAACUGGUUAAAAGACAGGGAACAAAGGGUAGGAAUAAAUGGUAAAUGUUCAGAAUGGAGAGGGGUAACUAGUGGUGUUCCCCAAGGGUCAGUCCUAGGACCAAUCCUAUUCAACUUAUUCAUAAAUGAUCUGGAGAAAUGGUCCCUACAAACAUAGUCCUGCCUAGGGCUCACUCGUGAGCUACCUGACAAUUGCAACUCUUGAGAAUUUGCUGUUCAAGAUGGGUCACUACAAAAACUAAUUCCCCCCUGCUGAUACUCACACCAUCUUGUCAAGUGUUUGAAAUGAGCCACCUUGAUUACAUUGGCCUCAUUAGCACUACACAAGUGAUUUCCACCCCUUCCUGUCAACUGUUGAGACUAGCCCACUUUCACCUUAAUUGAAUUGGCUCGUUAGCACUGACCCCCCACUUGGUAAGGCAACGCCCAUCUUUUCAUGUACUGUGUAUUUAUACCUGCUACUGUUUUUUCCACUCCAUGCAUCUGAUGAAGUGGGUUAUAGCCCACAAAAGCUUGUGCCCAAAUAAAUGUGUUAGUCUCCAAGGUG